ACACCUGAAGUCUGAGGUCAUUUCUCACCCCACGUGACCCCAGAGAUAACCCUCCUCCUUGAUCCUUUUCAGACUCAGGGCUUUCAGCCUGCCCACCAGGCACCCGUGGUAAGUCCUCUGCUCUUUUGUGUGUUUUUUAAAGAACCUUUUCUUUAUGGCUCUUGCUGUGGGUUAAAGGGAGGAGACUCAGCAUCCCCCAUAAGGGCAGACAAGACUACACACACUCCCUACCCACCAGGCCUCAGGGAUGUUGGUGGGAGGGGCUGCAGGUGUGCUCGGCUGGCUCUGAUCUAAUGGAGAACGGUACUGAGGGUGAAUCCUGUCGGAGGGGAGUGUUUCAGAAUCACACGCAAAGCCCUCAGCGUCCCAUAAGCAAUGCAUGGUGGUGGUGAACAAGCAGAACUCUAGUCAUAAUCUAUCUUCCCCUCCAACAGCGAGAUGCUCCUCCCCAGCCCCAGUGUAUUUAUGGGUGUCUGGGAGGAGUCAUGGUGAAAGACCUACCCUGUUGCAGUCGGAGCUUCAAGCUUACGGGUGGAGAUUACAUAGCGCCCCCUGGUGGCAGGUAGUGGUCCUUCUAAUGGUGAGAACUUAACUUCUUUCUCCCAGGCUCAAACUAUCAUCCACACAGUUCACAGCAUCCCUGGACAGAUGCUCUCUACUCCUGGAAUCCCUCCUAUGGCAUACCCCACCCCAGCCUAUGUAAGUGGUUUCCUGAGGAGAGCCUUGGCUUAUGUUAGUAGGGUGAGAGGUAAAGAGUGGCUUUGUGGGACAAUUUCUCUGACUUACAGGAUCAAUGAAGGCUCCUGAAUCCAGGUAAACAGUUCAGAUAUCCAUGUAAAUAUCCACUAGUAGACAGUUGAAAAAGAGCUUUCAACUUUAAAAUGCUCCCUUGAGCAAAUUGUAGACCUGACUUAGUUCCUUUUCUAUUGCUGUGAUAAAACACCAUGACCAAGGCAACUUACAGAGGAAGCGUUUAAUUUGGGGCUUAAAAGUCCUUGACUAUCACGGCAGGGAGCAUGGCUGCAGAUAGGCAGGUGUAAUGCCAGAGCUGGAGUUGAGAGCUCACAUUUUGUAAGAGGCCUGGAGACGGGGAGGGGGAGGGGUGUUGAUGGGCAGAGGAGACUGGGAAUGGUACAGGUCAUUUGAAACCUCAAAGCCUUUCCCCAGCAACACAUUUUCUCCAACAAGACCACACCUCCCAAUCCUUCCCAAACAGUUCCAUCAACAGUGAACCAACUAUUCAAAUAGUUGAGCCUCGGUGUGGUCAGGGAAGGAGCGUUCUCAUUCAAACCCCAACACCCCAACAAGCCAUUUGUGCACCGACAAUGUUCCCCUAGUUGUAGUUGAAAUGUAUUUUGGGAAACAGUAGAAGGUUUGUUUUGUUUUGACAUUUAAUGAACCAAGGAAAAGGAACCUGGAUUCCUUCUAGAAGGUACAGGCCCCAUGGGCCAGGCUUUGGAGGCCUUAGACACUUAUGCUGAGUCCCCUGCUGUUGCCGCAGCCCAGCUGAAGAUACUCUCUUCUCACCCUCCCAACAGACUAUACCUUUCUUCACCAGCAUCCCAAAUGGGUUUUACCCAUCCAAGUCCAUCAACAUAUCAGGCGUGGUCUUGCCAGAUGCUAAGAGGUUCCAUAUCAACCUUCGCUGUGGGGGUGACAUUGCUUUCCACCUGAACCCCCGUUUCAAUGAGAAGGUUGUGGUCCGAAACACUCAGAUCAACAACUCCUGGGGGCCCGAGGAGCGAAGCCUGCCUGG
rnacentral:lncRNA from 1 species